rnacentral:lncRNA from 1 species
GGCAGACUUAGGAUGUGAUUCUACAGAGCUAGAAUUGACAGAAUUCCAUUCAUUUUGUCCUCCCUUUUUUUGGUUGUUGUUAUCCCCUCUUUUGUACCAAGGGGGAUAUCCAUGUUUGGAAUAACAUUUAUCCGCUGUGUGGUUCAUCUUAUGGCAGUAGGAACAUUGCUUCUCAUUGUUUGAAUUUCUUCCUCUUCCUCUUCCUUGAUUGCG